rnacentral:rRNA from 1 species
GCGACCCCAGGUUAGGCCGAGCCACCCACUGAGUU